UUCAGGGGUAAACCUGAGAAACCCAAAAGAUCGAAUGGAGAGAUUCAUCGACGACGAUACCGGCUCCCGAUGGCGCGCGAUGCCCCGGUGGUACCCGCGAGGGUACCACAGCGAGCGGCACGCCGUCGUCGGCGAACGUUCCGGUGAUGUAGUCGUGCACUUCUCCCCUAGUAGAACGUCGCGACCCGUUGCGCGUCGGUCUACGGCCCGAGUGGGCGCCUGUGGCGUCGCAAUCUUGCGCACGCGGCAGACCCUCGGUCGCCCGGCCGGCUGCGCGACGGUACUCGUACGGUAUCGGGCCGCAACCAAUCCAUUCUCGAAUGUGUGUGCGUCUAGCCCGCCGCAAGCUCGGUCAGACUACCCGGUGGUACGGACUUUGCGCCGACGCCGGGCCUGGCCAGCUGUUAGCAGGCGGUGUCCUCGGACUGGCCAAGCUUCGAAUUACCGGUCGGCGACGCUACUGCUUUGGGUACUCUCAGGACCCGUCUUGAAACACGGACCAAGGAGUCUAACAUGUGCGCGAGUCAUUGGGAUCAUUGAAACCUAAAGGCGAAAUGAAAGUGAAAGUCGGCCUUCGCGUCGACCAAGGGAGGAUGGGCCGCGUACCCAUGCGGCCUCGCACUCCCGGGGCGUCUCGUUCUCAUCGCGAGAAGAGGCGCACCUAGAGCGUACACGUUGGGACCCG
rnacentral:rRNA from 1 species